rnacentral:rRNA from 1 species
AGUGAACGCUGGCGGUAGGCCUAACACAUGCAAGUCGAACGGCAGCACAGUAAGAGCUUGCUCGUACGGGUGGCGAGUGGCGGACGGGUGAGGAAUACAUCGGAAUCUACUUUUUCGUGGGGGAUAACGUAGGGAAACUUACGCUAAUACCGCAUACGACCUACGGGUGAAAGCAGGGGAUCUUCGGACCUUGCGCGAAUGAAUGAGCCGAUGUCGGAUUAGCUAGUUGGCGGGGUAAAGGCCCACCAAGGCGACGAUCCGUAGCUGGUCUGAGAGGAUGAGCAGCCACACUGGAACUGAGACACGGUCCAGACUCCUACGGGAGGCAGCAGUGGGGAAUAUUGGACAAUGGGCGCAAGCCUGAUCCAGCCAUACCGCGUGGGUGAAGAAGGCCUUCGGGUUGUAAAGCCCUUUUGUUGGGAAAGAAAAGCAGCAGGUUAAUACCCCGCUGUUCUGACGGUACCCAAAGAAUAAGCACCGGCUAACUUCGUG